UGAACAACUGUGCCUGGCCUAUAUGGUACAAUUUUUAGAAGAUUAUUGACUUCCUGAGUCUGAAAAGUACUCCAAAGUCAAGGCAACAAAAUGGCCCAUUACUUCAAAAGAGGUGGAAGCCACACUAAGCAUUUCAGACCUCAUUUCAAGAAUAAUUUGUCAGGCCUCUGAGCCCAAGCCUGCACGUAUACGUCCAGAUGGCCUG
rnacentral:lncRNA from 1 species